UGAUCUAUAGCUCAAUGGUAGAGCGAGCCACUCAUAAUGGCUUGACCUUGGUUCGAUUCCAAGUAGCUCAA
rnacentral:tRNA from 1 species